GGUGGUGAAUCAGCAGUUCUUGAACGAAUGAGUGGCUAUUACAUUAACUCGUGCCUCAACGAAUGAAUGAAUGGACGAACACAGACCGAGGGCCUGACCCACUUCCCUCUUCCCUCCCCGGCCCCACCGCCCCAGGCUUGGGCGAACCUCAGGUGAGCGCCUGCUCGCCGCUUCCGCGAACCUUCGCCUACGGCGGCCGGAAGGCAUCAGGAGCACGGUCAGGGCGGAAAAGCCGGUCCGCGAGCACGCAGGCGCGGCCCUGAAGCUUCCGGGGGCCACUUCCUCCUUUGUCUCCUAGCUACGGCUGGUAGCGUUGUUGACAUCCCCGGAGUCUGUGCCGCCAGCCUGAGCCCAGAGUUUCGCGGCCUCCGCGAUGGCAGAGGUGGAAGAAACCUUAAAGAGGAUCCAGAGCCAUAAAGGGGUUAUUGGAACUAUGGUUGUAAAUGCAGAAGGGAAGAAGACUAACACCAUGUCACAGAUCAAGCACUUCAAAGCAGACUCACUGUAGACAAGAUGUUCGGGGGAGUGCAUUUCAUCUAAAAAUAUGUUAACUUAGUACUCAAGUAGUCAGUUAACAGCUUCUGAAAGAUUUAUGCACAAAAACGUUCAUCAUCACACCAUUAGCUAUAAAAAAUAAAAGGUACAAAAUGACCAAACAAUAGGAGAUGGAUUGUAUUAUAUGUCCAUAAAAUAGUAAAGUAUGCAGUUAUUAAAAAUAAUGUUGAUGACACUGUCAACAAGGACAACUCGUAUUUUAUAAUUUUAAUGAAGAAAAAAGCAACAGUCAAAUUUGUAAAUAUAGUGUCACACAACUAUACUUGAAAAUCUACAUAGAGACAAAAAGUUUGGAGGGAAAUAAACUAAAACUGUUACCAGAGAGUGAUAAGCCAUAACUUUUUCCUCCUCUUUACAAUUAUCAGUGUUUUCCAGUACUUCCACAAUGUACAUAUUACUUUUCUAGUCAGAAAAUUAUUAACCAAAAUUAAAUUUCAUAAUAGGUAUACCCAUCCGAACAACCUUGGACAACUCAACAACUGUUCAAUAUGCAGGCCUUCUUCAUCACCUGACAAUGAAAGCCAAAAGCACAGUUCGUGAUAUUGAUCCUCAGAACGACCUGACUUUUCUUAGGAUCAGAUCAAAGAAACAUGAAAUCAUGGUAGCUCCAGAUAAGGAAUAUCUUCUGAUCGUCAUUCAGAAUCCAUGUGAAUAGACCUGUGAUGGCCAAGGCUGUCUAAGCGACACUGGGUUAGAAACACUUGGCUCUCAUGAUUAUUAAAAUUCUAUUUCAAUCUAACUGA